AGUGAACGCUGGCGGUAGGCCUAACACAUGCAAGUCGAACGGCAGCACAGUAAGGGCUUGCUCUUACGGGUGGCGAGUGGCGGACGGGUGAGGAAUACAUCGGAAUCUACUUUUUCGUGGGGGAUAACGUAGGGAAACUUACGCUAAUACCGCAUACGACCUACGGGUGAAAGCAGGGGAUCUUCGGACCUUGCGCGAUUGAAUGAGCCGAUGUCGGAUUAGCUAGUUGGCGGGGUAAAGGCCCACCAAGGCGACGAUCCGUAGCUGGUCUGAGAGGAUGAUCAGCCACACUGGAACUGAGACACGGUCCAGACUCCUACGGGAGGCAGCAGUGGGGAAUAUUGGACAAUGGGCGCAAGCCUGAUCCAGUCAUACCGCGUGGGUGAAGAAGGCCUUCGGGUUGUAAAGCCCUUUUGUUGGGAAAGAAAAGCAGCAGGUUAAUACCCCGCUGUUCUGACGGUACCCAAAGAAUAAGCACCGGCUAACUUCGUG
rnacentral:rRNA from 1 species